GUACCCUCAAGCUCUGCUUGGUGUUGGGUGUUUGUCCUCUCCUCUGCGUUUGGACUCGCCUUAAAGCAAUUGGCAGCCAGUGUUUUGGUAUUGAAGCGCAGCACAUUUUGCGACUCUAGCCUAUAAUACUUGCGUCCAUAAGCCUAUUUUCAAC
rnacentral:misc_RNA from 1 species